ACUAAGGAAACCCAAAAAAAUAAACGAAAGCCCAAACAGAAAUCAACAAUAAACCAAAAUCAAAACAACACAACAGCCCGAAAGAGAUCCAGCAGAACGUCAAAGGGGAGCUCUAGAGUCUUCUCACUCUAGUUGUAUUCCAAUAAAAGAAAACCCCUCUUGAAAGCAACAAAAAACGCAUAGGGAGGAACAACAUAUCAGAUACUUUAAUCAUCCAUCAAAUCCACCCUUUCCAUUAACCCUGAGGCACUUUGGAGAUAACACCCAAAUUGAGAUUGAAACUCACAGCAAAUUCAAUUUCUUCAAAAAGCACUCCCACCUACCUCUUCAUUUCCCCUCUCUCUUGACUCUCUCGCCUCAUCCAUCCACCGUCUAUCUUCAGCCACCACUUCUGCAACGCCAGAAGGGACCAGACUCGACAGAUAAGUAGACUCUCCUUUCUUAAUUCCUUCAGAUGCUAGUAAAUGGGCUACCUUGUUAGCCUCCCUGUUAGUAAAAAGAAAGACACAUAAACUGAAUCUUAAACUCAGUUUCAAAGCAUUGUUGAUAUACACUGAAAUCUACGAUCUGUCAUUCAUCUUCUCUUGCAGCUUCCGAACUACCGACCAAGAGUCUCCCUCAGUCUCCACCUCUCUCAAACCAAGUUGUAACCCAAGAUUCAACGCCUGAACACACGCCACUGCUUCUGCUGCAAAGACGAACAAUAUGUUCGUGUUCAUUACAGUUUUUGAACAAAUGACCCUUGCUUCCUCAUUUCGAAUCACUAACCCAAAGCACAACUCUUUUUUAUGGUUGUUAAAAGCUGCGUCAAAGUUUAUUUUCAACCUCGAUCCCAUCAGCGCAACCCAUCUGUCCACACACACCCUUCUUUCAGAAGGGCAUUCACGAAACAGAUGCUCCCUUAUUUCUGCUCCAGAUUGACACCGUCGACAAGUAGGAAAAGCCAGCAUCCUUCGAUAGUGUAGGUUACUGAAAGUAGGCACAUAUUUAAUUAUUUUAUUUUAUUUUAAAUAUAUUUAAAAUUAUUAAAAUAUUAAUAUAAAAAUAUUAUAUUUUUCAAUAUUAUUAAA